CUACGGGCCGCUCCAGUGGGGAAUAUUGGACAAUGGGGGAAACCCUGAUCCAGCAAUGCCGCGUGUGUGAAGAAGGCCUGCGGGUUGUAAAGCACUUUCGGUUGGGAGGACUGCUUCUAGCACUAAUAUUGUUGGAAGUUGACGUUACCUUCAGAAGAAGCACCGGCUAGCUCCGUGCCAGCAGCCGCGGUAAUACGGAGGGUGCAAGCGUUAAUCGGCAUUACUGGGCGUAAAGCGCGCGUAGGCGGCUAGAUCAGUCGGGUGUGAAAGCCCCGGGCUUAACCUGGGAACUGCAUCCGAUACUGUCUAGCUUGAGUACAGGAGAGGAGAGUGGAAUUCCACAUGUAGCGGUGAAAUGCGUAGAUAUGUGGAGGAACACCAAUGGCGAAGGCAGCUCUCUGGCCUGAUACUGACGCUGAGGUGCGAAAGCGUGGGGAUCAAACAGGAUUAGAUACCCUGGUAGUC
rnacentral:rRNA from 1 species